rnacentral:rRNA from 1 species
GACGAACGCUGGCGGCGUGCCUAAUACAUGCAAGUAGAACGCACAGUUUAUACCGUAGCUUGCUACACCAUAGACUGUGAGUUGCGAACGGGUGAGUAACGCGUAGGUAACCUGCCUGGUAGCGGGGGAUAACUAUUGGAAACGAUAGCUAAUACCGCAUCAUAUUAAUUAUUGCAUGAUAAUUAAUUGAAAGGUGCAAUUGCACCACUACCAGAUGGACCUGCGUUGUAUUAGCUAGUAGGUGAGGUAACGGCUCACCUAGGCGACGAUACAUAGCCGACCUGAGAGGGUGAUCGGCCACACUGGGACUGAGACACGGCCCAGACUCCCACGGGAGGCAGCAGUAGGGAAUCUUCGGCAAUGGACGAAAGUCUGACCGAGCAACGCCGCGUGAGUGAAGAAGGUUUUCGGAUCGUAAAGCUCUGUUGUAAGAGAAGAACGGGUGUGAGAGUGGAAAGUUCACACUGUGACGGUAUCUUACCAGAAAGGGACGGCUAACUACGUG